CCACUGAAUGUCUGCAGAGACCGGCCAGAUGAGGGGAUGAUGGACUUGCCUGCUUGACUCGUUCCUGUACUUUUAUCCCAACAAAACAUGACACACACCGAGAUGUGAAAGCUGUCAACUUUUCUUUGUAAAUGUUUCUACCCAGGAAGACAUGAUUUCACCCACCAUGAAGCCUUCUGGAAGCACAUUCCUCUGACGCUGCAGCAGCGCAUUGGGAAGGGCCUCCAGCAAACAGAUGGGACGAGUGAAGAUAAAAUGAUCAUCUAUUCGAAUGCAGUGGUGGUCCUGGCUCAACAAAUUCACUGGGAAGAGCUUUUUGACAUUCUCAGCUCCCCCUCUAUUUUCAUCACUCCCUACAUCUGCUUUCUAUGAACCCCACACCCCACACUCACUACGCGGACUUCUCCCUUGCUCAGGAAGCUACUAUCACCGACUCAUGACUACCUGGCUGCUGAAAGUCUUUUGUCCAGGUCUCUACACUGUCAACAUCAAGCUGAGGUUUAAUUCCAUACUUGGUCAGUUCACUGUGGCCAUCUCCCAACUUUUUUUUUUUUUUUUUGAGACAGUCUCAUUCUGUCACCCAGGAUGGAGUGCAGUGAUGUG
rnacentral:antisense_RNA from 1 species